UACGGGGGGAGCAAGCGUUGUUCGGAUUUACUGGGCGUAAAGGGCGCGUAGGCGGCCACAGCAAGUCGACUGUGAAAUCUCCGGGCUUAACCCGGAAAGGUCAGCCGAUACUGCGGGGCUAGAGUGCAGAAGGGGCAACUGGAAUUCUCGGUGUAGCGGUGAAAUGCGUAGAUAUCGAGAGGAACACCUGCGGCGAAGGCGGGUUGCUGGGCUGACACUGACGCUGAGGCGCGAAAGCUAGGGGAGCAAACGGG
rnacentral:rRNA from 1 species